AACCGACUAAUGUUGAAAAAUUAGCGGAUGACUUGUGGCUGGGGGUGAAAGGCCAAUCAAACCGGGAGAUAGCUGGUUCUCCCCGAAAGCUAUUUAGGUAGCGCCUCGUGAAUUCAUCUCCGGGGGUAGAGCACUGUUUCGGCAAGGGGGUCAUCCCGACUUACCAACCCGAUGCAAACUGCGAAUACCGGAGAAUGUUAUCACGGGAGACACACGGCGGGUGCUAACGUCCGUCGUGAAGAGGGAAACAACCCAGACCGCCAGCUAAGGUCCCAAAGUCAUGGUUAAGUGGGAAACGAUGUGGGAAGGCCCAGACAGCCAGGAUGUUGGCUUAGAAGCAGCCAUCAUUUAAAGAAAGCGUAAUAGCUCACUGGUCGAGUCGGCCUGCGCGGAAGAUGUAACGGGGCUAAACCAUGCACCGAAGCUGCGGCAGCGACACUAUGUGUUGUUGGGUAGGGGAGCGUUCUGUAAGCCUGUGAAGGUGUACUGUGAGGUAUGCUGGAGGUAUCAGAAGUGCGAAUGCUGACAUAAGUAACGAUAAAGCGGGUGAAAAGCCCGCUCGCCGGAAGACCAAGGGUUCCUGUCCAACGUUAAUCGGGGCAGGGUGAGUCGACCCCUAAGGCGAGGCCGAAAGGCGUAGUCGAUGGGAAACAGGUUAAUAUUCCUGUACUUGGUGUUACUGCGAAGGGGGGACGGAGAAGGCUAUGUUGGCCGGGCGACGGUUGUCCCGGUUUAAGCGUGUAGGCUGGUUUUCCAGGCAAAUCCGGAAAAUCAAGGCUGAGGCGUGAUGACGAGGCACUACGGUGCUGAAGCAACAAAUGCCCUGCUUCCAGGAAAAGCCUCUAAGCAUCAGGUAACAUCAAAUCGUACCCCAAACCGACACAGGUGGUCAGGUAGAGAAUACCAAGGCGCUUGAGAGAACUCGGGUGAAGGAACUAGGCAAAAUGGUGCCGUAACUUCGGGAGAAGGCACGCUGAUAUGUAGGUGAAGUCCCUCGCGGAUGGAGCUGAAAUCAGUCGAAGAUACCAGCUGGCUGCAACUGUUUAUUAAAAACACAGCACUGUGCAAACACGAAAGUGGACGUAUACGGUGUGACGCCUGCCCGGUGCCGGAAGGUUAAUUGAUGGGGUUAGCGCAAGCGAAGCUCUUGAUCGAAGCCCCGGUAAACGGCGGCCGUAACUAUAACGGUCCUAAGGUAGCGAAAUUCCUUGUCGGGUAAGUUCCGACCUGCACGAAUGGCGUAAUGAUGGCCAGGCUGUCUCCACCCGAGACUCAGUGAAAUUGAACUCGCUGUGAAGAUG
rnacentral:rRNA from 1 species